CGGGGUGUGGCGCAGUUGGUUUAGCGUGCUUGACUGGGGGUCAAGAGGUCGCGAGUUCGAGUCUCGCCACUCCGA
rnacentral:tRNA from 1 species